AGUGAACGCUGGCGGUAGGCCUAACACAUGCAAGUCGAACGGCAGCACAGUAAGAGCUUGCUCUUACGGGUGGCGAGUGGCGGACGGGUGAGGAAUACAUCGGAAUCUACUUUUUCGUGGGGGAUAACGUAGGGAAACUUACGCUAAUACCGCAUACGACCUACGGGUGAAAGCAGGGGAUCUUCGGACCUUGCGCGGUUGAAUGAGCCGAUGUCGGAUUAGCUAGUUGGCGGGGUAAAGGCCCACCAAGGCGACGAUCCGUAGCUGGUCUGAGAGGAUGAUCAGCCACACUGGAACUGAGACACGGUCCAGACUCCUACGGGAGGCAGCAGUGGGGAAUAUUGGACAAUGGGCGCAAGCCUGAUCCAGCCAUACCGCGUGGGUGAAGAAGGCCUUCGGGUUGUAAAGCCCUUUUGUUGGGAAAGAAAAGCAGCAGGUUAAUACCCCGCCGUUCUGACGGUACCCAAAGAACAAGCACCGGCUAACUUCGUG
rnacentral:rRNA from 1 species